AACACUUGAUUGUUGUUUAAGAUGUAAAAUACAGGAUACUAUGGUAUUUGGAAUUAAUCUGAAUUGUAUGCUUUGCAGUAUAUAUGUGAAUUCAAGUUCAUCUUUUUUCAGAGGGGGGGGGGGGCUUAUUCCACUUUUUCGGCUCUCAUUUCUGGCAAAUGAAUGAAGAGCAUGAUGCCUUGAUAAAUUAACUGAAAGGUAGCGCCUCAGAAAGCUGCUUGAUGUGUAUUGUAUGGUUACUGGCUAGUGACAACCUUCAACAAGCAUUCUUGGAGUUUUUUCCUCACUCCUAGAGUAGUAGAUUUUGCUACAUUGUGCUAUUGAAACUGCAGUUGAAUUUCAAAGAUAGACUUUUUGAUUUCUCACCUGAUGCAAGACUGGCACACGUUUGGAAGUGAUGGGCUAUGAUACAGAGGCAAUCGCAGUACAGUUCUUUCUAGACAUGCUCGAAAAGACUGAGUUGCUUGGUUUUAUAAUUUUAGGAUUCAAUUGAUUGGGAUGAUGGUCCAUAAGCUUAUACUCUUGUGUUAUUAAACUGAAACUUGGUUAUUCAUAUUCAGAUGAACUUGGAAGAGUAUUUGAUCAGUACAGCUGUAUUUGGAUGCAUGGAUUUGAAUAGAAUAAUAGAGGCAUAAAACUAGUGAC